rnacentral:rRNA from 1 species
AUUGAACGCUGGCGGCAUGCCUUACACAUGCAAGUCGAACGGUAACAGGUCUUCGGAUGCUGACGAGUGGCGAACGGGUGAGUAAUAUAUCGGAACGUGCCCAGUCGUGGGGGAUAACGCAGCGAAAGCUGUGCUAAUACCGCAUACGAUCUAUGGAUGAAAGCGGGGGAUCGCAAGACCUCGCGCGAUUGGAGCGGCCGAUAUCAGAUUAGGUAGUUGGUGGGGUAAAGGCCCACCAAGCCAACGAUCUGUAGCUGGUCUGAGAGGACGACCAGCCACACUGGAACUGAGACACGGUCCAGACUCCUACGGGAGGCAGCAGUGGGGAAUUUUGGACAAUGGGCGCAAGCCUGAUCCAGCAAUGCCGCGUGCAGGAUGAAGGCCUUCGGGUUGUAAACUGCUUUUGUACGGAACGAAAAGGACUCUGGUUAAUACCUGGGGCGUCAUGACGGUACCGUAAGAAUAAGCACCGGCUAACUACGUGCCAGCACG